AGCAGCCGCGGUAAUUCCAGCUCCAAUAGCGUAUAUUAAAGUUGUUGCAGUUAAAAAGCUCGUAGUUGAAUUUCGGGAUCGACAGGUUGGUCGCGCCUUCGGUGUGUACUGAUCUAGUCGGUUUCUCCCUUCUGACGAACCACGAUGUCAUUAAUUUGGUGUCGUGGGGAAUCAGGACUGUUACUUUGAAAAAAUUAGAGUGUUUAAAGCAGGCAUUAGCUUGAAUACAUUAGCAUGGAAUAAUGAAAUAGGACGUUUGAUCCUAUUUUGUUGGUUUCUAGGAUCGACGUAAUGAUUAAUAGGGAUAGUUGGGGGCAUUAGUAUUCAAUUGUCAGAGGUGAAAUUCUUGGAUUUAUUGAAGACUAACUACUGCGAAAGCAUUUGCCAAGGAUGUUUUCAUUAAUCAAGAACGAAAGUUAGGGGAUCGAAGACGAUCAGAUACCGUCGUAG
rnacentral:rRNA from 1 species